rnacentral:lncRNA from 1 species
CAGCAUCCUGUAAUGAAUGUGAUAUUGUUUGUUUAGGCAAUCCAAUUAUACUAUGACAUGUACAUUUCACAAUUGAUAUAUGUCCUGAAACAAGAUUGUAACUCUCUGGUUACUAUCAAAACAAUUGUUGGUUACCUUUAUAUACAUAUUUGGUUACCAACUGUACAUCUCAAACAAUGUAUCCAACACAACUUAAAAGAUACAAUAAAUAAUAACUAAAAUACCUCAUUGAUUGUACAAUAAUAGUAGUCAAAAAC